AAAAAAGAAAAAAAAUCACAAUUCACCGCUCGUCGACGCAUUUGCAGAAGCAGAGCCACCAUGGUUGCCGCCAAGAAAACUAAGAAGACCCAUGAAAGCAUUAACAAUAGGCUUGCUCUAGUUAUGAAGAGCGGCAAGUAUACUUUGGGUUAUAAGACUGUUCUUAAGACUCUUAGAAACUCCAAAGGAAAGCUUAUUAUCAUUGCCAACAACUGCCCUCCUCUCAGGAAGUCUGAGAUUGAGUAUUAUGCUAUGUUGGCAAAGGUUGGAGUCCACCACUACAACGGAAACAAUGUAGACUUGGGGACGGCUUGUGGUAAAUACUACAGGGUCUGUUGCCUCAGCAUCAUCGAUCCAGGUGAUUCUGAUAUCAUUAAGAGCAUGCCUGGUGACCACUGAUUAGGCCACAAGGAAUAGCAUUUCUCCAUAGGUUUUGGUCAUUUUUUUUUCCUUGCUGGGGUUGGGUUGUGGUAUGGGUUUUCAAUUGCAAACUAUGAUACUGUUUAACAAGAACAAUUUUGUGUGGAACUUGUGAGCUUCUAUUGGUAGCCCUUUCAGUGAUUUUUAAUUAAUCUGAAAUGAAGACCAAAAAUGAAUUUUCUGGUACUGGAGGCUGAGGAAACGUAAUUUAGUUUGUUAGCUGGCGCAAUUUUAUUUUACGACUUUCCUAUUAGCAUCUUCUGCACUUAGUGAAAUGAUAGUUACCGUAUU
rnacentral:misc_RNA from 1 species